AGUGAACGCUGGCGGUAGGCCUAACACAUGCAAGUCGAACGGCAGCACAGUAAGAGCUUGCCCUUACGGGUGGCGAGUGGCGGACGGGUGAGGAAUACAUCGGAAUCUACUUUUUCGUGGGGGACAACGGAGGGAAACUUACGCUAAUACCUCAUACGACCUACGGGUGAAAGCAGUGGAUCUUCGGACCUUGCCCGAUUCAAUGAGCCGAUGUCGGAUUAGCUAGUUGGCUGGGUAAAGGCCCACCAAGGCGACGAUCCGUAGCUGGUCUGAGAGGAUGAUCAGCCACACUGGAACUGAGACACGGUCCAGACUCCUACGGGAGGCAGCAGUGGGGAAUAUUGGACAAUGGGCGCAAGCCUGAUCCAGCCAUGCCGCGUGGGUGAAGAAGGCCUUCGGGUUGUAAAGCCCUUUUGUUGGGAAAGAAAAGCAGCAGGUUAAUACCCCGCUGUUCUGACGGUACCCAAAGAAUAAGCACCGGCUAACUUCGUG
rnacentral:rRNA from 1 species